rnacentral:rRNA from 1 species
UACAGAGAGUGCAAGCGUUGUUCGGAAUUACUGGGCGUAAAGCGCGUGUAGGCGGUUGUUCAAGUCGGGUGUGAAAGCCUUGAGCUCAACUCAAGAAAUGCACUCGAUACUGGAUGACUUGAGGACCGGAGAGGAUAGUGGAAUUCCCAGUGUAGUGGUGAAAUACGUAGAGAUUGGGAAGAACACCAGUGGCGAAGGCGGCUAUCUGGACGGUUUCUGACGCUAAGACGCGAAAGCGUGGGGAGCAAACAGG